rnacentral:rRNA from 1 species
GAAUCUGCCUUAUAGUGGGGGACAACCUGGGGAAACCCAGGCUAAUACCGCAUACGCCCUUCGGGGGAAAGGCUUCGGCCGCUAUUAGAUGAGCCUAUGUCUGAUUAGCUUGUUGGUGGGGUAAUGGCCUACCAAGGCGACGAUCAGUAGCUGGUCUGAGAGGACGAUCAGCCACACUGGGACUGAGACACGGCCCAGACUCCUACGGGAGGCAGCAGUGGGGAAUAUUGGACAAUGGGCGAAAGCCUGAUCCAGCAAUGCCGCGUGUGUGAAGAAGGCCUGCGGGUUGUAAAGCACUUUCAGAUGGGAAGAUAAUCACGGUACCAUCAGAAGAAGCACCGGCUAACUCUGUGCCAGCAGCCGCGGUAAUACAGAGGGUGCAAGCGUUAAUCGGAAUUACUGGGCGUAAAGCGCGCGUAGGCGGUUUGUUAAGUCGGAUGUGAAAGCCCUGGGCUCAACCUGGGAACUGCAUUCGAUACUGGCAGGCUAGAGUAUGGUAGAGGGAAGUGGAAUUCCGGGUGUAGCGGUGAAAUGCGUAGAUAUCCGGAGGANCAUCAGUGGCGAANGCGGCUUCCUGGACCAAUACUGAC